ensembl:lncRNA
CUGAAUUUGACAUUUGGGUGUUCCCUGCUGUAGGCAGCCUGUGUUUCUGGAGUAGAGGCAGGGAAGCAGACUAUACAGAAAGCAAAUUCUGCCUUAGGUUUUCAGGAUGCUCAGCUAGAUGAUGUUAUCAGGCAAACACAGAACUUCAUCCUCAAGCUUUGACAGGUAAAAUUGUCUUCCUUUUGAUCCCUGAAACAUCGCAUUUUUGCUAGUAUUCAAGGCAACCAGUAGGAUAGCUACUUGCCUUUUCUAUUUUUCAGGAGAAAGCAAAACCAAACCUGGUUUGAUACCAGAGAGACACUGUCUAUUUGAAAUAGAGCCAGCUUUUGAAAACAAGUUAGAAGUCAUCUCCUUGCCAAUUUUUGUGGGUGUUCAUCGUGCCUGGAUAGCAAGAAAAUUCCUGCAGGGAAUCUCAUGAAUGUCAGAGCUAGCAGGUAACGAAGAGCUAAGCUCCUGCAGAAUUUCUUUCUUCCUUCCUUUGAGGAGGAGGACGAGAAGGGAAGGCAGAUGGUAACUCUUCGCUGGAGCACUGUGUAAAACAGAAGCAAGAUAUCAGCAUGUUCAAUGGCUGCAUUCCCCUGAGUGGAGGAAAAGUACCUGGGAAAGCAGUGAGAGGAGAGAUGAGGAGCAGCCUGCUGCAGAAAGAACUGCUGUCUAGAAGAGAACAUAUCAGGACAACUGCCAGCAUACUGAGCGAGAGGUGUUGGGAGUGUUUGUUGUUCACACUUAACAACCUGAUGUGAUUUAUCGUGCUUUUAUUUCGUCUCCCUCCAAAGAUGUUAUGUCUGUUUAAAUACAGUUUUCACUCUGUUGCUCACUACCGGAGAUGCUUCACUCAAGGAGCCCCAGGUAAUACAAUGCAGCUUCUCCCUGGAAGCCCAAAAUAGUGUUUAAAUGCUUUUCUGCAAAGACUCCGUAAAAAUUGAACACAACCUCUGCUUCGUUAGUCAGUUUGUGGCAGAACAGCAGCAAAGCCUGUCUGAACUUGAAUCUUAUGGCUGUAUUAAGACAUAUUUUUUCACAGUAAAGACAUAGACUUGGACUCCAUCAUCUCAGAAUAAAAGAG